UACUGGCACCUUGUAAUCUUCCCUACUUCAAGGAGCUGGAGUUCCCCUCUCAGAAUUCACCAAAGACCACACAGCACAGUUGUCACUUUCUUCACCGCUGUGUCCUCAGCCAAACAAACACAGUGCCUGGCACACAGUAUGUGCUCAGUAAGAGCUCAAU